ncrna:unclassified sequences IS605-orfB-II RNA
CAUGAUGAAACUAAAUUAGUUUUGGAUUGUAUAGAAGGUAGUCGCAGUCGCCUCAACUCCGACCCUUGCACAGUUUAUUGCGCAAGAGUAAGGUGAGAAACAACUUUAGUUGGAAACUUUAAUUUUGUCAAGAAAUUAAAGAACUGU